CAUCUAUAUGUGCGUGAAUAUGUCAUUUGCUAUAUCAUGCAGGUGAGAAAUGUGAAUGUGCUGAUAUAUUUACAGGGAUGUGUGUGAACUAUACUCAAGUAAAAGUUCGAACCAACAUUUUAGGGACAAUAAAUGAAACAUUGAAAAGAUAAAGCAAAAAUCCUCUAGUUAGCAACCAUAAAAUUAUUAACCAACUAGUACUAGAAUCCUAAGUAGAAUGAGAAGGUCAACUUUGUCAUUUUAGUAUUCAUAUAAUAACACUGUCACUAUAUUAGGGAAAUGAACUAGACAACAUGAUAACACCAGAUGCUUUCUAAGAUGCAAUCUACUAUUUAAGUACCGGGUGGCUUAUCUGUAAUAUUGAAUAAACAAUUAUGAAAAACAACCAUGUUUAUGGACUUUCAUAUUUUAGGUUCUUUUUAUGUUUUAUGUAUUUUCAGAAUUUUUAUGUAGAAUUUGUGCAUGAAUUAGGAUAUCAUAAUGGGCCAGCUAUUUAAGUUAUUGUUCUUCAAAUAUGUUCUAUAGGAGCUGCAUCUACUUGCAUCUGCAAUUGGCCUUAUGUACCGGGAUCUAGCUUUUCUAGAAAGGGUAAAAGGGUGAGCACAACGUUAAACUAAUAUUCUGAUGAAAGCUAUUGAAAGGAGUUUCUCUAGAGAAGAGAAGUGAUUCUAUAUCUUCCUUCCUCUAGUUGUUGCUGAUAUGUUCUUCAGUAGAAAUACAUUCUGUGCUUGAUGGACUUGUUAAUUAAUCAGAAAUGUAUUAUAUGCCUUUUUUUUUAUAGUAAGAUGACAAAUUGAUUUCUAGACUCAGUAACUGAAAUCUUAUAAUGUAGCUUUUUAAAAAUAUUAAUGAAAUUUUGUUUCUUCAUGGAACUGGUUUGCAAUUUUUCUUCUCAUUUUAAUGUCUGCAUUUUGUCUAAUCUGUGCCAUGCACAUCUUUUCAUCUAUUGAUUCUUUAUUAUUUCAAUUUUCUUGGCUUAUGUUUUUUUUCUUUUCUUUUGAUCUUUUUCAUUACAGUUGUUUAGCGUUUAUUUCAGAGAUUCUGAUUCUUGGCUGUGGAAGGCACAUUGAGCCAGUGAGCCCUGAGCUCUGUCGCUUCAUACGGUCUACAGGAAUAAAAUUGGAAGCAAUGAUUUGAGAAAUGCUGCUUGUACUUACAAUAUAUUAAAUGAUGAAGGAAGGCCGGUGGCUGCUGCACUUGUUCCCUAUGGAACUACUUCAGAAUCUUCAUCUACCAUGUAAGGAUCUUAAUCUACCCAUAUAAAAUUCUGCAACCUCACAAAGCUUUUGCUUAUGCCUAUGACACUAGAAAGAUUAUUUACAUACAAUCAUAGAGCCGAUAUUUCAAAGGAUGAAAUUCUGGUCAGGUAGAAAUUGGUUAUUUUUGAAAUUUGGUGCACUGAAAACUCACAUCUUACCUCAAAAAAAAAGAAAAAAUCGUGAAAUGCAUAGUGGUACACCAUCUGUUAAGGCCUUUAAGCAUAAGGAUGCCUGCACAGUUGGGCUCGUACACCAAACUGAGAAUUUUCGUGAAAGUAGGAGAGAGCAAGAGAUGAUCUGAUACAAGAGUGUGUACUAGCUGAAAAAAUUUGAUGGCUUGACAUACGAUGUGUCUAAUGAUGUGGCAUAGAAAAUGCCUUGGGUAGAUGAAGAGACUAGAGGGUAGAUGAAAAAGAUAUGAAGUGUAGUAUUGGUGGGUAAAUAAUUAAUAUAGAAGGUGAUAGAAGAGGGAAAAUAACUUCUGCAUCGUCUAUAAAUAGUCUUGUACUCAUUCAUUUUGGGACAAUCCACUGCUAAUAGGACAUUGCCUUCUCAUUCUCCACCUAUCGAAUGAGUUGCCUUUGGUUGAGGGAUACUUGACUUUGCAUCCUUGCAUUUGCAGCUUGACUCCUGUGCAUGCAUUUUUCAGCUCUGCCUGUAAAAUAGAUUGAGUUAGAUCUAUAUUCAUAAGUAUCUCGGACUGGUGUUCAAGUGGGCCACAGCCCGAAUCCUAUAGAAACGAAAAAAAAAAAAAAGACCUCGUGAAAUAUAUUCCUUUCUUCUUGAAUUUCUCCACUAGUAAAUUCCUCUUUUUAAAUAUAAAAAAAUUGUGCGUUGGGAGAAUUUCUCCCUUUGACCACUCAAUCUUGAUUUUACCAUCUAAAUGUAUGAUGCUGCAAUGUCCGGAUGCUUUUAUUUUCUUUAUACAUAUGACCUUGUGUGGGAUACACAAGCAUGCAGAAAAGCACCAUGUCUUCCCAUUUGGAUCACUAAAGAGUUGUGUAACAUACCAACCAGCAGGUGUGGUGGUUGAUAAUUGAAAUCAUGCAGUUAAAUAUUCUGAUUAUAAGGUAGGGUGCAAUGGUGGUGCUAUUAUUUAGAGGCUGUCGUGGGAUCGGUUGCCUUGCAAGAGCCUUUUAGUUAAUAGAGCUGCUGGAGUUUGCUAAAAAUUUUUGGCAGUCUCUCUGCUAUUCCUUGAUCUUUGCCGGAGCUUGUGCACAUCUUGCUCUAGGCAGAAUUGGGAUGGAGAGCUUUUCUGGCUUGCAUUGUGUGGCAGAUCUGGGUAGCUCAUAAUGAGAGAUUAUUUCAGCAUAUGCUGUAAUACAGCCGGCACAGUUGAUUCAAGAUGCCCUGGCUUUUGUGCCAGGUUCCUUUAAGUCGAACCCUUUGAUAUCUCUGUCAGGGAGCUGGGGUGGUUCUUCCUCCUUAAACACUUCGCCACUGGUCUAUUGGCAACCUCUUGCCCUUGGAGUUCUAAAAAUAAAUUUUCAUGCAGCUGUUCAAGGAAACAAGUCAACUGUGGGUUUUGUUAUUCGAGACCAUACUGGAACUUUAGUUAAGGCACAAGGCAAAGCAAUCAAAUCUUCUUCUGUGCCUCUAGCGGAGCUAACAGCUGCUUGGUUGGGAAUUAAAAUGGCUGUUAAUGAACUUCACCUACAUAAUUUUUGGUUGGAAGGGGAUUCUUUAACAGCGAUUCACUGGUUAACUUUUCUCUCUCUUCUAAUCACACCCAUUCUCCUCUACUUAAUAGCAUAAGAUACUGGCUAUCGUCAAGGCGAUCGGUUAGGGUUUCUCAUAUCUGCCGGGAAUGUAACCAGGUAGCAGACUUUAUGGCCUGUCAGGCUUUGAUUGCUGACUGUACCUAUGACAUGAGUGAUAUGUUACCUUUUGCUCUAAAAUGCCCUGUUACAGGCUGAUUGUCUUCAGGUGGUAUUUUUUUAAGAAAGCAUUGAUCUCUCUCAUGUUUUCAUGCUGAUCAAUGUUCAUUAUGCUGGCGCUUAUCCUGUUAUUAUUUGUGUUAUUUUUUUAAGUAUCCCUUUCCAAAAUGGUGAGGCGGUGCAUUUGAGAUGAGGUGACGAUAAGAUUGGUGACCGCCUAUGGCAGUAUAUUUGCCAAAUUAAGUUGCUUCAAGGUUUGCCAUGAUCAUUGAAUAAUUUCCACCACCAUUUCAUCAGCAGCGAUUGGUUUAAAAUAAAUAGGUUGGGGACACCAAGGCCUCCAAGAUUUUUUGGCCGGCAUAUCAUAUCCCAGCUGGCAAGGUAUUUACAUUUGCUCGCCUUCUUCUGGUCUGACCAAAGGAAACUUCGGCAGAUUCGAUCAAUUCUCUGAAUGAUGAUCGUGGGGACUCGGAGAAUAGACAUCCAGUAGACAGGGAUUAAUAUAAGCAUGGAAUUAGUGAGGGUCAACCUGCCUGCCGGUGUGAGAGUAUUCCGUUUCCAGCCAUCAAGUUUCUUAUCAACUUUUCCAACAAGAAAAUUCCAGUCUGCCAAUCUUAAGGUUGAGUGACGAAGGGGGAUGCCAAGAUAAGAAAUGGGCACCUGAUCUACCUGACAUCUCUGCAAGUUGUUGUUUGCAUUAUUGCCUUGAGUGCCUUUUCCUUUUCACUGUAUUACGAUAUGGUGUUCGGGGAGACAGACUCAGCUGGUUUUGUGUUGAUAAUUGGGAAGCAACUCUAAAUUGUCAGUAAUGGUUCUCAGUUUCAUUGGAUGGUGUUACUAGCAUCUACUGGUUUAUUACUCUGGCAAUUAUUCUGGUGGUCUAGACUGUACAGCAGACAAUGGCACUUCAUUCAGGAUUCUCUGGUGAUGGGUGAUACUAUACAGAAUGGUAUGCAGAAUAAACAUAUACUGGAUCGGUUCACUGAUACUAUCCUUGAUGUUCUAAGCAGGAUCAUAUAUGCUUCAGGGAUGUUGGGGAUUAUUUUAUACUGAGCUCAACUUUUCUUUUUGCACCAUCAGGUUUAUUUCUUAUGCAGUGUGGUGGAACCUGAUGACUUUUCACAACUGAUGGAUGGGGUGAUUGAGGUGUUUUGCCAAUCCCCAUCCUUGCUUCUAGCGCUUAAGUUUGUUUCCUCUUUAUGUUGGGCUUGUAAUUUGUUUAUCGUUUUGGGCUGCUUGCUGUUCUUUAGUAUGUGGUACAGAUACUAUGUGUACUUGUAGUUGUAUCUUGCCUUCAAUGAAUCAACAGUACUUCUCUUUACCAAGAAAAAAAAAAAGGAAAAAGA